rnacentral:misc_RNA from 1 species
CCAAUAGCGUAUAUUAAAGUUGUUGCAGUUAAAAAGCUCGUAGUUGAAUUUCGGGAUUAGUACGCUGGUCGUGCCUUCGGUAUGUACUGGUGUUACUGGUUCCUACCUUCUGACGAACCGUCAUGUCAUUAAUUUGGUGUGGCGGGAAAUCAGGACUGUUACUUUGAAAAAAUAAGAGUGUUUAAAGCAGGCUCGCGCUUGAAUACAUAAGCAAGGAAUAAUGAAAUAGGACGUUCGAUCCUAUUUUGUUGGUUUCUAGGAUUGAAGUAAUGAUUAAUAGGGAUAGUUGGGGGCAUUAGUAUUCAAUUGUCAGAGGUGAAAUUCUUGGAUUUAUUGAAGACUAACUACUGCGAAAGCAUUUGCCAAUGAUGUUUUCAUUAAUCAAGAACGAAAGUUAGGGGAUCGAAGACGAUCAGAUACCGUCGUAGUCUUAACCAUAAACUAUGCCGACUAGGGAUCGGAUGAUGUUAUUUUUAAUGACUCAUUCGGCGCCUUACG